UGGGGAAUAUUGCACAAUGGGCGAAAGCCUGAUGCAGCAACGCCGCGUGAGUGAUGAAGGUCUUCGGAUUGUAAAGCUCUGUCUUUUGGGACGAUAAUGACGGUACCAAAGGAGGAAGCCACGGCUAACUACGUGCCAGCAGCCGCGGUAAUACGUAGGUGGCGAGCGUUGUCCGGAUUUACUGGGCGUAAAGGGUGCGUAGGCGGAUGUUUAAGUGAGAUGUGAAAUACCCGGGCCUAACUUGGGUGCUGCAUUUCAAACUGGAUAUCUAGAGUGCAGGAGAGGAGAAUGGAAUUCCUAGUGUAGCGGUGAAAUGCGUAGAGAUUAGGAAGAACACCAGUGGCGAAGGCGAUUCUCUGGACUGUAACUGACGCUGAGGCACGAAAGCGUGGGUAGCAAACAGGAUUAGAUACCCUGGUAGUCCACGCCGUAAACGAUGAGUACUAGGUGUAGGAGGUAUCGACCCCUUCUGUGCCGCAGUAAACACAUU
rnacentral:rRNA from 1 species